GAGCACAUAGUUUAACGGCAGAACAUCAGGAUGUGCUUCGGCACAGUACUUCAACAACUCUUCCUCAAUUUGAGGUGAUCGUGGGAGUUACUUCGUUGACCUGACGUAUAGGUUCGAUUCCUAUUGUGCUCA
rnacentral:tRNA from 1 species